rnacentral:lncRNA from 1 species
AUGUCUCAGGCAAGCAAAGACACUGAGAGUGCAUUAGCUGGUUUAGAGCAAGAGGUAGACCAGUCAGAUGUUCCUCAACCAACAACACUAUCUAAAGAGCCUCGAAGGAGUGAAAGAGCUCGAACAUUAACUGAAAAAGGAAAGGAACUUCAGAAGGAAAAGCUAGAAGUUCUUCUGCUACGCUUUGACAGUAUUUAUGAAAGAUGGAGAGCUCUGACCAAGGUUGCUAAGAAAUCUGUAAUGAGUCAAGAUCCCAGUGAAAUUCUACAGGAACACAUUAGCAGCGUUCAGAAAGAGGCAUCAGAGCUGAACAAUAUUUAUGAUGACUCCAGAAGAAUUGAUAGUCCAGCUCAUGACAUGCGUCGUAAGAUGGACAACUGUACAUCAAUUACUGAAGUAGUGGUUCAGAACGCUCAGUUGCAAAUUCAAGGAAGAGAAGAGCAGAUUAUUUGGCCUAAUGCGAAGUCAGUAUUUGCAUCUUCCAUAUCCAGUGUUUCACCACCUGCUUCAAGUCGUUCUAAGAUUAAUUCUUUGCGCUCUGAUACAUCUUCAGUCAAAAGACAAGAAGCUGCUGAUGAGUAUGCAGCCACACAAGCUGUCUUAAAGAUUAUGGCUGAGCAAGAGUCAUAUCAAGAAAAACUACAAAAGCUUGAGGUUGAAGAGAAGUUGAUCAUUGCAGAACAAGAAGCAGCUGCAUUAGCUUGUCAUCUGCAAGCGGAAAAGGAAGAAACAGAGCGUAGAAUAGAAAGGGAGAAACGAAAAUCCGCUCUCCAAAGGAAACAACAAGAGGAGAACGCCGCAAGAAGGAGGUCAGUAGAAAACUUAAAAAGAGAACUUGAGCGUUUGGAGGAAUUGAAAAGGCUGAAUGCAGCCAAGGCAAAACUUCAGGUUUAUGAUGAACACGAGAAUGAUCAGGUUAAGGGCUUUGCAGCAAAUAGUGCAGAACUUCCUAUUGUCAUGCAGACUGUCAGUCAGAUUAAGCAAGAACCACAACCACCAAGAGUUGUGUUCUCUAAUAGUAGUUCAACACAAAAUGAAACAGGAGCACUUGUGAAGGUUUUGGCUGAGGCUAUGUCAGCAAACAGGCUCCCCAUUCCAGAACCUACCGUCUUUUGUGGAGAUCCACUUAGGUUUGUUCAUUGGAAGGCAUCUUUCAAGACUCUGAUUGAGCAGAAAAACAUUCCAACCUCAGAGAAGAUCUUCUUCCUUCAGAGAUAUGUUGGAGGAGCAGCACGAGAGGCUUUGGAAGGUUACUUUCUAAUUGGUUCAGAAGAGUCAUAUGAAGCAGCUUGGAAGUUGCUCAGUGAACGAUAUGGACAUCCAUUUGUAAUUGCAAAGGCUUUCAGAGACAAAUUAUAUUCCUGGCCAAAGGUAGCUGCAAAGGAAAGUGCUGAGUUAAGGAAAAGUGGACUUCUUGCGCAGUUGUGA